rnacentral:rRNA from 2 species
AGGCGGGUACGAGGCAACCCGGGGAACUGAAACAUCUUAGUACCCGGAGGAGAAGAAAACAAACGUGAUUCCGUUAGUAGCGGCGAGCGAACGCGGAGGAGCCCAAACCGGGAGGCGGAAGCCUUUCGGGGUUGUGGGACGUCCCGCAUGGAGUGAGAAAAGGACAGGCUAGGCGAAGAGGUCUGGAACGGCCCGCCGGGGAAUCCCGCGGGAAGCCGGCAGGACCAUCUGCCAAGGCUAAAUACUCCCUGGCGACCGCAAGGCUAAAUACUCCCUGGCGACCGAUAGUGCACGAGUACCGUGAGGGAAAGGUGAAAAGCACCCCGGGAGGGGAGUGAAAGAGGACCUGAAACCGUGCGCUUACAAGCAGUCAGAGCCCGAUGGAUGGGUGAUGGCGUGCCUUUUGUAGAAUGAACCGGCGAGUGACGAUCGCGUGCGAAGCCGGAGCCGGAGCGAAAGCGAGUCUGAAGAGGGCGGAAAGUACGCGGUCGUCGACCCGAAACCGGGUGAUCUACCCCUGUCCAGGGUGAAGGCGCGGUAACGCGCGCUGGAGGCCCGAACCCGUGUCUGUUGAAAAAGGCUGGGAGGAGAUGGGGGUAGGGGUGAAAUGCCAACCGAACCCGGAGAUAGCUGGUUCUCCCCGAAAUUGCUUGAGGGCGAGCCUCGGGCGGUGGGCGGCGGAGGUAGAGCACCGAUGGGGCAAGGGGCCCGAGAGGGUUACCGCGUCACGUCGAACUGCGAAUGCCGCCGUCUU